GGGGCUGUGGAUUGUGGAAGGCUCACAGGUGCCUCUCUGUCCUGGAGCUACAGCCUGUCCUGCCAGCUGGAGCCCCAGACCUAGUUGGCCAGCAGAAUACUCAAGGCCAAGAAGAAAUGGCCGUCAUCAAGGUCAGGGGUGAGUGAGUGU